CAUUCAAUUUAGUCAGAGUUAGUAAAUAACCUCUUUACCUCACAUCAGGAGGGGUCUUGCGGAUGCCAUAUACUUUAUGUUUUUGGUACAAAUCCAUCAAGCAAACGUGCUCCAAUAGGCUCAAGGGUCUUCUGACAUGGUCUACAGUUUAUGAGAUGUAUCUUCCUUAGUCCUGAGGAAAUAUGAUUUUAUUCUUAAUUUGUUGCCUGCUGACCAAUGGACAAAGCAGAGGAUCAAGUUUCUGUUGCGAGAUAGUUUGUUGCAAGGGAUCGACGCCUUCCAGGCCCUAGUAGUGUAGCUACUGUUGCAUGUAUCUCCUUUGCUAUGACCAAACACUAAAAUCAGCCUAGUUUGAUAUUGUGUCACCAGACCUACAUCCGAAAUGGUGCCGUUUCUGAAUACCCUGGAAUUCCUCUCAACCCCAAACCAGCCGAUGGGGAGAUUGAAGAUGAGAAGUAGAUAGAUUUAUUGAACUACCAAAAGAU